rnacentral:rRNA from 1 species
CCUACGUGGUGCAGCAGUGAGGAAUAUUGGUCAAUGGGCGCGAGCCUGAACCAGCCAAGUAGCGUGAAUGAUGACUGUCCUACGGGUUGUAAACUUCUUUUAUAAAGGAAUAAAGUGAGGCACGUGUGCCUUUUUGUAUGUACUUUAUGAAUAAGGAUCGGCUAACUCCGUGCCAGCAGCCGCGGUAAUACGGAGGAUCCGAGCGUUAUCCGGAUUUAUUGGGUUUAAGGGGAGCGUAGAUGGGUUGUUAAGUCAGUUGUGAAAGUUUGCGGCUCAACCGUAAAAUGGCAAUUGAUACUGGCAGCCUUGAGGACAGUUGAGGUAGGUGGAAUUCGUGGUGUAGCGGUGAAAUGCUUAGAUAUCACGAAGAACUACGAUUGCGAAGGCAGCCUACUAAACUGCCACUGACAUUGAUGCUCGAAAGUGUGGGUAUCAAACAGGAUUAGAUACCCCUGUAGUC